GAUGAACGCUGGCGGCGUGCCUAAUACAUGCAAGUCGAGCGAACAGACGAGGAGCUUGCUCCUUCGACGUUAGCGGCGGACGGGUGAGUAACACGUAGGUAACCUACCUAUAAGACUGGGAUAACUUCGGGAAACCGGAGCUAAUACCGGAUAAUAUUUCGAACCGCAUGGUUCGAUAGUGAAAGAUGGCUUUGCUAUCACUUAUAGAUGGACCUGCGCCGUAUUAGCUAGUUGGUAAGGUAACGGCUUACCAAGGCAACGAUACGUAGCCGACCUGAGAGGGUGAUCGGCCACACGGGAACUGAGACACGGUCCAGACUCCUACGGGAGGCAGCAGUAGGGAAUCUUCCGCAAUGGGCGAAAGCCUGACGGAGCAACGCCGCGUGAGUGAUGAAGGUCUUCGGAUCGUAAAACUCUGUUAUUAGGGAAGAACAAACGUGUAAGUAACUGUGCACGUCUUGACGGUACCUAAUCAGAAAGCCACGGCUAACUACGU
rnacentral:rRNA from 1 species